rnacentral:rRNA from 1 species
AUUGAACGCUGGCGGCAUGCCUUACACAUGCAAGUCGAACGGCAGCACGGGAGCAAUCCUGGUGGCGAGUGGCGAACGGGUGAGUAAUAUAUCGGAACGUGCCCAGUAGUGGGGGAUAACUGCUCGAAAGAGCAGCUAAUACCGCAUACGACCUGAGGGUGAAAGCGGGGGAUCGCAAGACCUCGCGCUAUUGGAGCGGCCGAUAUCGGAUUGGCGAGUUGGUGGGGUAAAAGCUCACCAAGGCGACGAUCUGUAGCUGGUUUGAGAGGACGACCAGCGAGUCUGGGAUGGAAACACGGCCCAGACGCCUGCGGGAGGCAGGAAUGGGGAAUUUUGGACAAUGGGCGAAAGCCUGAUCCAGCCAUGCCGCGUGCUGGAAGAAGGACAUCGGGUGGUAAACCGCUUUUGUCAGGGAAGAAACGGCUCCGACUAAUAAUGGGGGCUAAUGACGGUACCUGAAGAAUAAGCACCGGCUAACUACGUGCCAGCCGCCGCCGUAA